rnacentral:rRNA from 1 species
UACGGAGGGUGCAAGCGUUAUCCGGAUUCACUGGGUUUAAAGGGUGCGUAGGUGGGUUGGUAAGUCAGUGGUGAAAUCUCCAGGCUUAACUUGGAAACUGCCAUUGAUACUAUCACUCUUGAAUACCGUGGAGGUCAGCGGAAUAUGUCAUGUAGCGGUGAAAUGCUUAGAUAUGACAUAGAACACCAAUUGCGAAGGCAGCUGGCUACACGAAUAUUGACACUGAUGCACGAAAGCGUUGGGGAUCAAACAGG